GAUGAAAAUGGAAUGUGAGGAAUCAGAUUCUGAAGAAAAGAAAUAAGCACAAAAAUCAACACAUGGUGGUAAAAACAGUUUGGAUGGUGAAUCAAAUCUGUCAAUGACCAGAGAAGAGCCUGCUCAUGUGUUUGGGAAAAAUGACACACGAAACUCAAAACUUAAAGCUUCUGCAGUUUCUUAAGUUGAAGAAGGAGUAGAGGACAACAGAGGGUCCUUAUCUCAGUCUGUUUCAGCCCAGAGAGCCUGCUGAAUGAGAAGCCUUUCCAUUAUUACUGAUGACCAACACAAGCAGAAAAAUGGCCACGAUUGUACAACAUCCAAAAUAUAUUUGCAGUAAAUUCUGGAAGAUUUGGCCUCAUCCAUCAAUUGAAUAGGUUGUCCUAAAUACAAAAGAUCAUUCAACUCACAGCAUCUGUGUAGCUGUUGACAAGCUAUCAUUGUUCAGUGGGACAUUUAAACCUUGUCCUUCAGCAAAGUGAAGUAAGGGAAACAUUCUCAUCAAA